rnacentral:rRNA from 1 species
UGCAGUCGAGGGGUAGAGUUUCUUCGGAGACUUGAGACCGGCGCACGGGUGCGUAACGCGUAUGCAAUCUGCCCUUUACUGGGGAAUAGCCCGGAGAAAUUCGGAUUAAUGCCCCAUAUGCCCGCGGAAUCGCAUGGUUCAGCGGGGAAAGCUGAGGCGGUAAAGGAUGAGCAUGCGUCCCAUUAGCUAGUUGGUGAGGUAACGGCUCACCAAGGCGACGAUGGGUAGGGGGCCUGAGAGGGUGAUCCCCCACACUGGUACUGAGACACGGACCAGACUCCUACGGGAGGCAGCAGUGAGGAAUAUUGGGCAAUGGAGGCAACUCUGACCCAGCCAUGCCGCGUGCAGGAAGACGGCCCUCUGGGUUGUAAACUGCUUUUGUUUGGGAAUAAACCCUUCUACGUGUAGAAGGCUGAAGGUACCUUACGAAUAAGGAUCGGCUAACUCCGUGCCAGCAGCCGCGGUAAUACGGAGGAUCCAAGCGUUAUCCGGAUUUAUUGGGUUUAAAGGGUCCGUAGGCGGGUCUUUAAGUCAGUGGUGAAAGCCCACAGCUCAACUGUGGAACUGCCAUUGAUACUGGAGAUCUUGAGUGUAGUAGAAGUAGGCGGAAUAGGGCAUGUAGCGGUGAAAUG